rnacentral:lncRNA from 1 species
AUUUCCACCUGACAAAACAUCUUUUUUGUAUCGUGCAAUAUCAGAAUCAUAAUGUAAAUAUUUUUUAUAUCGUUGUUGUAGCGUACAAAAGGUCCAAAAUGGAUGUUCAAUUGCGGUCAUGACGAUCUUCAAUUUAAUAUCAAAUGGCACAGAUUCAUAUGCAGUAGCCUUCUGUGGUGGAUUGUAUUCUUCAUCAGGUAUAGUGUGGCUUGUAUGAGGCAUGCUUUCACAUGCAACAUCAUAUUUUCCUUCUGCUAUAUAACAUUCAAUAUCAUCGUAAAUGUCAUGAUGUCCUACCAUUUUAAUGCACUUUUCAAAUAAUUU